UCUUCCGCAAUGGACGAAAGUCUGACGGAGCAACGCCGCGUGAGUGAUGAAGGCUUUCGGGUCGUAAAACUCUGUUGUUAGGGAAGAACAGGUGCUAGUUGAAUAAGCUGGCACCUUGACGGUACCUAACCAGAAAGCAACGGCUAACUACGUGCCAGCAACCGCGGUAAUACGUAGGUGGCAAGCGUUAUCCGGAAUUAUUGGGCGUAAAGCGGGCGCAGGUGGUUUCUUAAGUCUGAUGUGAAAGCACACGGCUCAACCGCGGAAGGUCAUUGGAAACUGGGAGGCUUGAGUGCAGAAGAGGAAAGUGGAAUUCCAUGUGUAGCGGUGAAAUGCGUAGAGAUAUGGAGGAACACCAGUGGCGAAGGCGACUUUCUGGUCUGUAACUGACACUGAGGCGCGAAAGCGUGGGGAGCAAACAGG
rnacentral:rRNA from 1 species